CCAAGAGGGAGGGCUGGGGAGAAGGGAAGCCCCAAGGGGGAGUUUCAGGGCCCUGAGCUAGGCUUGAGAGGCAGCGCUGGGUAGGACUGAGAGGAGCAAGCAUGGUGGGAGGCCCCAACCUCAGACCACACUCACCGGGGUUUCCAGAGGUCUCCAAGAGGCAAGGAUAUUUGGUGGCCCUGCUUCACCCAACUGUUCUUCUAGCAUUCUCCACAUCGUGUGCUAUAAGUUGGAUUUGAUCAGAAUUCUCACUCCUGGUUCUAAGUCAGAAUCACCUGGAGAGCAGGCAGCAGAAGGUCUGAAAGCUCCCUAUGGUCCAGAACUGCUGGAUGGGACCAUUAGUGGGACCCCUCACCUGCAGGCCAUGAGGACCGUUUUAUGGGCUCUAAACUGCUCACGGCUCACAACAAUGACAACAUCAGUCAAGAUGUCUCGACUCCGGAGACGAUUAAGGUUGAGAAGAACAUCACUGGCAUGGCGGGUGAACUGGAUGCAGCUGUCAGCCGGCGAGGCCAUUUUGUCUUCACUUGAAAAAAGAAGCCAAAAUCCUGUUAGUCCCCCAGAACCUGUUUCCUGCUUGCCAUGGGUAUCAGAGCAGGUGGCUCAGCCUGCUAAGGUACGGAAUGCAACUGAGGUCCCUUGUGUUUGAUCUUUGAACAAUUCAUAGCCCAA